GUUUGGAUUUUAACCUCUAUUAGAGAUAGCUUAGCUCUCCGGGCUACAAGAGCAGAGUAUGGGAAUUUUCUCUCUUCUUUUAAUAGGUCCUCGGCUAGUUCAUCUCCGGCUUUGAAAGGUCUUCAGUGGUGUAAGGACACCCUCCAAGUAGGUACAUGCAUCUCCAUAGGUAAUGGUGCCUCAACUUCGGUCUAGUUUGAUCCUCGGAUUUUAGGUAAUGCCUCUUGUAAGCCUCUCCCUACAUUGAACAUACAGACCGACCACAACAUGAAGGAAAACAGAUUGAUCCUAUGCAGCUUCAGCAACGUCUCCUUAAAGCCUUCAAAAACAACUCCGCACCUCGGGCUUCUCCAAGCAACGAUAAUACGCUCCACGACAACAUCCCCCAAAGCCCCCCGACCUGGGAUGGAUGAAACUGAACACUGAUGUCGCAUGAGUAAUUUGACAUCCUGCAUCUCAGGAGAUGCCACUGGCCCUAAUAAUGAAGUCAUCUUCUCUUGGUUCUCCAAAGCUGCCACAACCUCUCCACUCCAAGCCAAAGGUCUAGUUGUCCUUCUCGCCCUCUCAAUAGCUGUUGACAUAGGUUGGCACAAGGUGUGAAUUGAAAGUGAUGCCCUUGUCCUCGUCUAAACAAUCUCCAAACCGCAGCAAGCACCUUGGGAAAUUGGAACAAUUAUUAGUGAUAUUUUAUAUUGUUUUCGUUUAUUCUCGAAUCGGUGAUGUAAUUGGUGAUGUACUUGGAUUUCUCGUAAGGGUAACCUCUUAGCAUACGACUUGGGCCACGUUGGCUUCAUCGUCGAAUCUUGAUUCCUUUUUUAA